CGAGUAAGCCGGAUGGUCGCAUGCAUUUGCAUGAGGAAAGUCCGAGCUCCAUAGGGCAAGAUGCCGGGUAACACCCGGUGGAGGUGACUCCAAGGAAAGUGCAACAGAGAUAUACCGCCAUUCGGAUGAUGGAUGUCGGAUCUGAAAAGUCAGAAUUAAAAUUGAUGAAUGAUUGAUUAUUGCUCUAAUCUGACUUUUGACUUCUGAUUUCUAACUCCGUUGUGGUAAGGGUGGAAAGGCGAGGUAAGAGCUCACCAGCAGCCAGGCGACUGGACUGCUCUGUAAACCCCAUCUGGAGCAAGGUAGAAUAGGAGGGAUUACGCAGUUGCCCGCUGUUCCCUCGGGUAAAACCGCUAAAGAUGUCAGGCAACUGGCAUCGUAGAUAGAUGACCGUCUAAGACAGAACUCGGCUUACAGACUUGCUCGUAUA
rnacentral:RNase_P_RNA from 1 species